CUUACUGUUUUACCCCCUCCUACUAAAGACCCUAUUUGCACUUCUCCCCCUUGUCGGCAUUGUGGUCGCUAUUAUGUUGACUAGCCUUGUCGAUGCUUGAACCACUCCUGUUACAAGUGCGGGAGUACACAACAUUUGGGGAAGGAUUUCUACAAAGGCGCAAGGACCUCACCAGACCGGUAACCCAGGGACGUGUUUUCCAUUUGGAUGAGCUCGAUGUUCCCACCACCCCCGCUAUCAUU
rnacentral:lncRNA from 1 species